rnacentral:lncRNA from 8 species
AUGGGGAGCACCGAGACAGUAGGCUGCAGAAUGCACAGGGACACAAACCAACCACAGGACCACACUGUCCGUGAUGGACAUCCUUCUCUGUGUCCUCGUUUCCUGGUUCACAUGAAGACCUGUCCUGCAGACCUCAGACCCCCACGUUUCCUAUCCAGUAACCCCAGACCACGUCCUCCUCGCCGGGAACCGACACAACAAAGACAAGCCCUUAGUGGCCUGAAGACGCAUUCAUGUGCAGACUCCAGGAGCAGGAGCCUGCAGCACUGCAGCACCACCAGAGGGAGGCGCUUAGCUGUUGUUGUUCCCUGUGUUCCAGUGCCAGUCUCCCCCCCUCCCAGCAGAGCCUCCCCUGAGCUCCCAGUCUGCCCAAGUCCAACAUCCUCCACUGUCACUGACUCUGAGCAGCAAGGGACUGGAUCCAUCCCUGCUCCAGCCUCAGCCCUGCCUCAUGUCCAUACUCAGAAAGGAGAGAAGGAAACAGAGGAUGGUGUUAAAGAGAUGGGUGGGGGCACUUCGGCUUCCUCAGGGGCCUUCCGCCCUCCAAGGCCAGACCAAGAUCCCAAUUCUGGUCCUGAGGACAUAGACCCCUCAGUUUCUCCAAUCCCUAGUGUCUGUGAGGAUUCUCUCUCAGACUUUAGCCGCCCACCAUCCAGCCAGUUCAGCCGAAGCACAGACCUGGGUAGUGGCCGGAGCAGUCCUCUAUGUGCGAAUCUGAGUGACCUGGACUCAGAGGGUGGCUCUCCUCUCUCCCAGCAUGGUUCCUCUUCCAUGUCCCUGUCUGCUCUGGCCUCCUGCACCCCACAGGACCCCCCAACACACAAGCCCCCAAACCCAGCCCCUCACCACCCUCUACACCAUCCCCUCCCUCACCAGGCCCAACACUGCCCACCUGACUGGACCACCACGGAGCCCCAGCCAGGCCAUGUACCCCCACCCUACCCAGACCCAGACCCAUUCCUGGAGCCCAACCCAGACCCUACUACCCUAGCUUUCCCCUCAGACACCUGGCAGUCCUGCCCCAGCCCACAGUGCAGGAUAACUCCCCGGCCAGGGUUAGGGUCAGGUUUGACCUCAUCUCCUGUGGUGGUGGAGAGGCAGGACUGGACAUCACACCGCUGGUCCGUCCUUCCCCCCAUCUCUCCUGUCAGAGAUGGCAGUGACACAGUGUCCUCCUGGUCCCGCUGUUCUCAGGUCAGCUCUAGCCAGUCCCAUGUGUUUGAUGAACUGGAGGCCAUCGCCCCGCGGACCAGCUCCUGUCUGUCCCUAGACCACCCACUCAGCCCAGCAGACUGCAGCCCACCUGGUACAGAGAUGUCCCCAGGCCUGGCUGCUCUGACAGUGGGCUGUGACUCAGGGGACCUGGGCUCCCUGUCCCGUGUGCAGCUCCUGCUCCUGGACCGGUCGGACCCUGUGGAGCCCCACUGGCUCGCUGGUCAGGACAAGUACUCCCCAACAGAAGACAGAACAACAGACCUCACGGCGGAGCUCCGAGCCAGAAGACCUCUUAGUCCAAGACUGUACACUACAGACGUCCUGCAGCCCCUCACAGCUGGCAGCUGUGGAGACGGCAGUGUGUCUGAGAGGUGUGUCGCCACAGGCAAAGUCCAGGAACAGGGUGAGCACACAAUGUCCCACACCAAGGAUGGUUCCAGGUCACCAUCGUCAUGGAUCAGUGACUCCAGCCCAUCAGGCAUCAUAUCCGGGUCCACCAGUUCCCAAUGCGAGUCCUGCUGUGGCCCCAGCCCAGACCAGGGGGUUCCAGUGAAGGAGGAGCCUGGUUGCCCUGAUCGGGGGGAGCGAGGCUGGGCUUCCACAGUGGGCAGGAGAAGACCCGGGAGGCUGGAGCGCAGGAUGCGGGAGAAGGAGCGAAAAAGGGAGGAGAGAAAGACAAAGGUGCUAAACAUCUACUCCAGACUCCAGGACAGCGGGCCCCUUCAGCCCAGCCGCAACAGGGGCCGCUCCAAGUUUGAGGACUUCGACUUCUUGGCAAAGUAUUGCAUUUUCAGCCAGGAGAAGCUGGCAGAAUACAAAAGGGCUUUUGAAGCAGUUGACAGCGAUGCUGAUGGUUACAUCUCCUGUCUGCAAGUGCUGCUGGCACUAAAGAAGAUCAUCCCUCCAGAGCUGCUCUCUGAUGAAGAAGAGAUAUAUGUCUACAGGAUCCUGGAGAUGGUGGAUUUCAGGGUGACAGAUGGACUUACAGACCUGAGGCUCUUUGCUGUGAUUGCGAGCCUGGCGCAGAAGAUAGUCACCAUGGAUGUAUUUAUGCGUUCCCUGAUAAGCAAAAUGGACUUCCAUUCUUUGGCAUUAAAGCUAUACAAAGCAAAGCAGCUGUUCAUGUUCCUGCUGGAGGAGCAGACAGGGGGCGCUGUGGCCCAGCAGGGCUGUAUCAGCGCAGAGCAGCUCCUAGUGGAGCUCAAGGCCGGGGGCAUCCGACCAGAACAAGAGGAAGCCAUCAAACAGGAGCUCCGACACAUCAGCUCCCUGGACCUGCUGGACUUCCUGGCGUACCUGCCCCUCUUCGUCCUAAUCCACAACUCAGUCAUCGCCAACCCACUGGAUGACUCCAGCAACCUGUGA